GAGCUUGCUCGAAUUUGUUGGU
rnacentral:siRNA from 1 species